rnacentral:rRNA from 1 species
CGGGUGGUAAUGCCGGAUGUUCCAGUUGAUCGCAUGGUCUUCUGGGAAAGCUUUCGCGGUAUGGGAUGGGGUCGCGUCCUAUCAGCUUGACGGCGGGGUAACGGCCCACCGUGGCUUCGACGGGUAGCCGGCCUGAGAGGGCGACCGGCCACAUUGGGACUGAGAUACGGCCCAGACUCCUACGGGAGGCAGCAGUGGGGAAUAUUGCACAAUGGGCGCAAGCCUGAUGCAGCGACGCCGCGUGAGGGAUGGAGGCCUUCGGGUUGUAAACCUCUUUUAUCGGGGAGCAAGCGAGAGUGAGUUUACCCGUUGAAUAAGCACCGGCUAACUACGUGCCAGCAGCCGCGGUAAUACGUAGGGUGCAAGCGUUAUCCGGAAUUAUUGGGCGUAAAGGGCUCGUAGGCGGUUCGUCGCGUCCGGUGUGAAAGUCCAUCGCUUAACGGUGGAUCCGCGCCGGGUACGGGCGGGCUUGAGUGCGGUAGGGGAGACUGGAAUUCCCGGUGUAACGGUGGAAUGUGUAGAUAUCGGAAA